AUUGAACGCUGGCGGCAGGCCUAACACAUGCAAGUCGAACGCGUGGCGGACGGGUGAGUAAUGUCUGGGAAACUGCCUGAUGGAGGGGGAUCACUUCUGGAAAAGGUAGCUUAUACCGCAUUCCCUCGGGUGUGCCCAGAGGGGAUUAGCUAGUAGGUGGGGUAACGGUUCACCUAGGCGACGAUCCCUAGCUGGUCUGAGAGGAUGACCAGCCACACUGGAACUGAGACACGGUCCAGACUCCUACGGGAGGCAGCAGUGGGGAAUAUGGCACAAGGGGCGCAAGCCUGAUGCAGCCAUGCCGCGUGUAUGAAGAAGGCCUUCGGGUUGUAAAGUACUUUCAGCGGGGAGGCGUUACCCGCAGAAGAAGCACCGGCUAACUCCGUGCCAGCAGCCGCGGUAAUUC
rnacentral:rRNA from 1 species